UGGGGAAUAUUGCACAAUGGGCGAAAGCCUGAUGCAGCAACGCCGCGUGAGUGAUGAAGGCCUUCGGGUUGUAAAGCUCUGUCUUUUGGGACGAUAAUGACGGUACCAAAGGAGGAAGCCACGGCUAACUACGUGCCAGCAGCCGCGGUAAUACGUAGGUGGCAAGCGUUGUCCGGAUUUACUGGGCGUAAAGGAUGCGUAGGCGGAUUUUUAAGUGAGAUGUGAAAACCCUAAGCUUAACUUGGGGACUGCAUUUCAUACUGGAAAUCUAGAGUGCGGGAGAGGAGAAUGGAAUUCCUAGUGUAGCGGUGAAAUGCGUAGAGAUUAGGAAGAACACCAGUGGCGAAGGCGAUUCUCUGGACCGUAACUGACGCUGAGGCAUGAAAGCGUGGGUAGCAAACAGGAUUAGAUACCCUGGUAGUCCACGCCGUAAACGAUGAGUACUAGGUGUAGGAGGUAUCGACCCCUUCUGUGCCGCAGUUAACACAAUAAGUACUCCGCCUGGGAAGUACGAUCGCAAGAUUAAAAACUCAAAGGAAUUGACGGGGUCAUA
rnacentral:rRNA from 1 species